GUCGUCAGCUCGUGUCGUGAGAUGUGGGUUAAGUCCCGCAACGAGCGCAACCCUCGACCUUAGUUGCCAGCAUUCAGUUGGGCACUCUAAGGUGACUGCCGGCUAAAAGUCGGAGGAAGGUGGGGAUGACGUCAAAUCAUCAUGCCCCUUAUGACCUGGGCUACACACGUGCUACAAUGGGCGGUACAAAGGGUCGCGAACCCGCGAGGGGGAGCCAAUCCCAAAAAGCCGCUCUCAGUUCGGAUUGCAGGCUGCAACUCGCCUGCAUGAAGCCGGAAUCGCUAGUAAUCGCGGAUCAGCAUGCCGCGGUGAAUACGUUCCCGGGCCUU
rnacentral:rRNA from 1 species